UUAGCCAGCGGGCCUCACCUCGUGUUUCCUGAAGUAGUUGAUAGUAGUUUCAAACUUACUUAAAUAAUACUUUCUAGAGAUUUAUGAUGUACCUUUUGAGUCUCAGUUAUAAAAAAUGACAGUUUAUUCAAAGGAACCGAAGCAAGUCUUUACAGAUGCGGGAGAAUCCUUGAGGAGGUUAUGCACAAGGUCUUCUACAGAACGAAAUGAAGAGUAUACAAUGACCUACAUGCCUGGAUAGCAAGAUACAGGUAGCCUAUUCUCUUUUUUUUGCAUCACUACAUACUAUCUUUCAUUAAUUUGUUUGUGCAGUUCACUAUUUGCCUAACGGUUCAUUGAAAUUACUUAUUUUCGGUUUAUUUCUAUAGCCGGCAUGUGUAUUUUAUGGCUACCAACUUGCAUCCAGAUAAAGUCAAACUGAAUCCAGUAGCAUGUUUGGUUGGUGUCUUGUGUGUGAUAUGCAUGGCCUGGGAACUGCAUGUGUGUUGUUGCUGAAUUUUGCAUGGCUGCAACCUGAUUGCUCUGAUGGUGGAUGUUCCCAUGUGAACUUCAUUGUUAGCAAGCUGAGUUAGUAUUUCGUCAACCGUAAUUAUUAACAUUGAAGUGAAGAAAUGUAAGUACCAAAGCUGAACCUACAGCUAGCAGUCUCCUCCUCUCUGACACGAAUGGGUCGGAUCAGGCAACCUCGAAGGUGGACGUCAUGGCACCCUUUCGAGGAUGCACCCAGGCGGACAAGGAGCACAAGAAGUUCAAAGGUUGUGAACCUAUAGUGCAGAUUCAGUUUGAGCUCCACAAGGAGCCGUACAUGCAUCUGGCAUACUCAUCUAUACCAUGACUAGGUAAGAAAAGUGUCAUGUUCUUCCAUGGAAUGUGCGCUGGUGUUCAAUGUGUGUGUGGGUUUUCAGAUGGAAGCUUGAUAAUCUCUACUUGAUAUGCAUGGCUUACUUCCACCAUCACUUCACUGCCGGAGCGAAACUACAUUCAGGGAAUUGGCUACAGAGAUCUACAGA